rnacentral:tRNA from 1 species
UGUCGAAUGGCAUGGCUCAAGGCUAAAAAAUAAAGUUAUUCGACUAAACAUGUAGAACUGCCUGUGGACGGCUUGCGGACGGGGGUUCAAUUCCCCCCGGCUCCACCA